CGUGGAGAACCUGCCGUAUACUGGGGGAUAACACUUAGAAAUAGGUGCUAAUACCGCAUAAGCGCACAGCUUCGCAUGAAGCAGUGUGGAAAACAAAAAGCUAAAGCUUUUGGUGGUAUACGAUGGAUCCGCGUCUGAUUAGCUAGUUGGCGGGGUAAAGGCCCACCAAGGCGACGAUCAGUAGCCGGCCUGAGAGGGUGGACGGCCACAUUGGGACUGAGACACGGCCCAAACUCCUACGGGAGGCAGCAG
rnacentral:rRNA from 1 species